GCCAAACUCUGAAGUUCUGAUUUAUAAUUUGAAAGAAAAUUAAAGUGGCGACGAGGAUAAAAGUGGAAAGUGAAAGUGAAAUUUGGUAGCAGUGUUUCAUCUUGUCACCAGAGUUUGGGGCAAAAUUUGUCGAUUGAGCGAUUUGUUGAUGGUUGCUGUUUGUGCUCCUGUGGUUGCUGGUAUCUGCUGCUGUUGCUGGUUUUUGCUGCUUUUGCUGAGUGUUUUUGCCUGCCCGAGCCAGAUUUUGGUCGGUCGAUUUGAUUCUCUUUGAUUGAACAACAGAAAAUAAGGUUUCACUCGGCGGUCGAUUGUUUUCCGCCCAUCGACAUCAAUUACGUUUGGUGGAAGAGCCUUUUGAUCGAAAGUCUACAAGAAUUUUAUUCGAUCAGAUCUCACCAGAGUGCCUAGUGAACCAAGAUACCGAAAAUGAUUAUCAACAACAGCAGGCAAUUCAAAGCGACGAAGAAGAUUUUUACGGGUUUGUAUCGGACUCCAAUUUGUUCGAUGCAGCCGUUCGAUCCAGCUCAACUAGUGUUCCAAACAGCCCAGUUGAAAUCGAACAUUCUGAACAUAGCCGACAGGAAAGAAAAUCCGGAACGCGAAAGCGUAGACACCCUCAGACGUCUCCAUUAAGACGAUCGAAACGAAGUAAGAUCAGUAGUAAACGUAGUGAGUUUGUUUAUUUUUGAAUAUAUUAAUACUAUUGAAAUAAGUGAUUGUUCUGAGACAUCAACGAAUUAAGCAUAACAUUGUAGUAUUUUACAUUUGAAUUUAAUCAUUCUAUCAGAAUCUUAAGGGAGGAGAAUUGUAAUAGUUUUAUAUUCGACCACUUGGUUCAAACCCACUAGCGGGCUUGAUAUCAGAAACAAACAACUGUUCUCGAUCAUUCCAAUGUAUUGUUUAUAUAACACUUAAAAGGACUAAUAAAGUGGAACGGAGUGAGUUAGAAGAUGACAGCCAA